GUGGUGAGGGCGUCAGUUUGUGUAACGUUCUGUCCGAAAAGUGUCUGUUAUUUCGUCAACUAAAAAAAAACACACAACAACAACAACAACAACCGUUGAACCGUUGAAGUCUCUGGGGACAACGUGGAAAAGGACUGUUGUGUGUGUAUCCUCCUGCAGUUGGACUCCUGAGGAGAGGAACAGGGGGAAUCUGCAGCUCAGAGAAAGGCCACUGUAUUGGUGUGAUGUUCUUAUCAACGUCAUUCAGACACAGACAGUUUCUCUGUUAUCUGUCUGCAAGCACAACCGCAGAUAUAUGCAGCCUCCACUGUCAGUGUGAGGAUUCAGAUUGCUAUCGGCUCGGAAUACAAAAGAUCUGUGAGCUACUUUGAAUACAAAUCACAAGAAGUGUGAACGGCAGCGAAGGGGGCUCUUCAGUGAAGAAUGGCUAUUGAAAUGAGGCAGAAGAAUGCCAGAGAGAUAAAGAGAAGAAUGAGCAGCGCUGUUCAGUCAACACCAAGUCCUCCAGUUCCAACUCAUCCCAGGCCCCUCAGCAAGUCAGCACGGGAUCAUUUUUCAUAAUGAUACCUCUGUUCAAAUAUCACCUACUUUUCUUUCUUAAAAAAAAAAAAAAUCCAGCCUUUGUUGUAGAAGCUGAUUUUGGGUGUUGCCCAUGCACACACAGUUUUUGGGUAACUUAAAUACCAUUAAUCUCUUAAAGGUAAUCUCUUGUCUGAGCACUGAAAAGUGGUUUGUGUAUUUUCAGCUACGCACAGAAGAACUGUAUGUGCUUGCCAAUCUAUUGUAGACAGACAUUUGUGGGAGUGAGACAGUUUUUUGUUAUAUUUGUAUAUUUGUAGUGCUCCUUAUCACUGGCAGUUUGAUUUAGAGCAUCAAAACAUCCUCUGCUUACUAAAGUAGUGUUUGUUUCAUCUCAUAUCGCAUCCCCAUUACUAUUAUUCACACUGAAUCUGUGGUACUGUAAGUAUUAAAUCUACUUUGUGGCAUA